rnacentral:rRNA from 1 species
UUUUGGAUUAAAAUUUAAAGUCUAAUCUGCCCAAUGAAAUUUUAAAUGGCUGCGGUAUUUUGACCGUACAAAGGUAGCAUAAUCAUUAGUUUUUUAAUUGAAAGCUAGAAUGAAUGAUUGAACGAGAAAAUUUCUGUCUCAAUUUAAUUUAAUUAGAAUUUUAUAUUUAAGUUAAAAAGCUUAAAUAAUUUUUAAAGACGAGAAGACCCUAUAGAGUUUUAUAUUUUUAAAAUUUUAAAAUUUUAUAAAUUUAAUAAUUUUUAAAAAUAUUUUAUUGGGGUGAUAAUUAAAUUUAAAAAACUUUAAUUUUUAAAACCAUAAAUUUAUGAAUAAUUGAUCCAUUUAUAAUGAUUAAAAGAUUAAAUUACCUUAGGGAUAACAGCGUAAUUUUUUUUGAGAGUUCUAAUCGAAAAAAAAGAUUGCGACCUCGAUGUUGGAUUAAAAUUAAAUUUUGGUGUAGAAGCUAAAAUAUUUGAGUCUGUUCGACUUUUAAAAUUUUACAUGAUCUGAGUUUAAACCGGCGUGAGCCAGGUUGGUUUCUAUCUUAAAAUAGAUCAAAUAUUUUAGUACGAAAGGACCAAAUAUUUAUAAAAUUUAUUAAUAUUAGAAUAU